rnacentral:rRNA from 1 species
GUGGGGAAUCUUGCGCAAUGGGCGAAAGCCUGACGCAGCCAUGCCGCGUGAGCGAUGAAGGCCUUAGGGUUGUAAAGCUCUUUCGUGGGGGAAGAUAAUGACUGUACCCCAAGAAGAAGCCCCGGCUAACUCCGUGCCAGCAGCCGAGGUAAUACGGAGGGGGCUAGCGUUGUUCGGAAUUACUGGGCGUAAAGCGCACGUAGGCGGACUGGAAAGUCAGGGGUGAAAUCCCGGGGCUCAACCCCGGAACUGCCUUUGAAACUCCCAGUCUUGAGUUCGAGAGAGGUGAGUGGAAUUCCGAGUGUAGAGGUGAAAUUCGUAGAUAUUCGGAGGAACACCAGUGGCGAAGGCGGCUCACUGGCUCGAUACUGACGCUGAGGUGCGAAAGCGUGGGGAGCAAACAGGAUUAGAAACCCCAGUAGUCC